AGUUUCAGAGCCGAUUUUUGAAGGACUCGGGUCGGGACGGGACGGGACGGGUCGGACUGGAGUCGGUCGAUUUUGCCGCCGGAUCCAGUAACUUAGGACCGGGCUGUGUAUCGCAGGCAGCCGGAGGACAAAGACAGUGCAAGUUGUUACCGAGACUGCAGCAGAGCGGCACAGCAUCACUUGGUGCUCUUGAGUAUACCAGCUUCUUGCAGUCCUUGCCCAGAAUCACCUCCCGCUCCCACUGCCAACCGCCUGUCGAAGUUAGGGUCACGGCGGUCCGGAGCCCAUCCCGGAAGCACGGCGCACUUGACCAGUCACGGUGCACCCUCAACGGGAUACCAGUCCACGUGAGGCAGCACAAUGACCUCCUCGAUGGCUCCGAUUCCGCACCCAAGAUCAGCCCGUCCAUUGAGAGGGCCCUACUUGCAGUGUCAGAAGUUCUCCAGAGGUGCCUCCCGUUCCUCAGUCCUCCGCCUACAAGACCUGGCGGUAGCACGUGACACCACCGAAAAAUGCGCCAUGUUUUUCCUCUCUAGACCGGCUUGGAAUCGAAGGAUCAGCACCUAAAUGGUUGUCGUCUUACCUCUGUGGUACAUCGUCCGUCUUCCCUCCAGUCUCUCAACUGAUGUCAUGCAAACCACGGUCCCUGUAGCUCCGCUCAUCUCCAUCUAUACUGCUUCCCUGCUUCCCCUAACUUUGAGAGUCGCACGUCAAGAUCUAUUCAUAUGUUGUAAAAUGGAUUUUUGUAUAACCCGAGUUGAAUAUAUUGCAACUGAUAUGCUUUCUCAUUUCAUGCAGACCUUAUAGCAAAGCUUAAAGCUAACUGAAUAAACCAGACUGU
rnacentral:lncRNA from 1 species